AUUGAACGCUGGCGGCAGGCCUACCCAUGCAAGUCGCGCGGAUGAAGGGAGCUUGCUCCUGGAUUCAGCGGCGGACGGGUGAGUAAUGCCUAGGAAUCUGCCUGGUAGUGGGGGAUAACGUCCGGAAACGGGCGCUAAUACCGCAUACGUCCUGAGGGAGAAAGUGGGGGAUCUUCGGACCUCACGCUAUCAGAUGAGCCUAGGUCGGAUUAGCUAGUUGGUGGGGUAAAGGCCUACCAAGGCGACGAUCCGUAACUGGUCUGAGAGGAUGAUCAGUCACACUGGAACUGAGACACGGUCCAGACUCCUACGGGAGGCAGCAGUGGGGAAUAUUGGACAAUGGGCGAAAGCCUGAUCCAGCCAUGCCGCGUGUGUGAAGAAGGUCUUCGGAUUGUAAAGCACUUUAAGUUGGGAGGAAGGGCAGUAAGUUAAUACCUUGCUGUUUUGACGUUACCAACAGAAUAAGCACCGGCUAACUUCGUG
rnacentral:rRNA from 1 species